rnacentral:rRNA from 1 species
AGUGAACGCUGGCGGUAGGCCUAACACAUGCAAGUCGAACGGCAGCACAGUAAGAGCUUGCUCUUACGGGUGGCGAGUGGCGGACGGGUGAGGAAUACAUCGGAAUCUACUUUUUCGUGGGGGAUAACGUAGGGAAACUUACGCUAAUACCGCAUACGACCUACGGGUGAAAGCAUGGGAUCUUCGGACCUUGCGCGAUUGAAUGAGCCGAUGUCGGAUUAGCUAGUUGGCGGGGUAAAGGCCCGCCAAGGCGACGAUCCGUAGCUGGUCUGAGAGGAUGAUCAGCCACACUGGAACUGAGACACGCACCAGACUCCUACGGGAGGCAGCAGUGGGGAAUAUGGGACAAUGGGCGCAAGCCUGAUCCAGCCAUACCGCGUGGGUGAAGAAGGCCUUCGGGUUGGAAAGCCCUUUUGUUGGGAAAGAAAAGCAGCAGGUUAAUACCCCGCUGUUCUGACGGUACCCAAAGAAUAAGCACCGGCUAACUUCGUG